rnacentral:rRNA from 1 species
AGAACGAACGCUGGCGGCAGGCCUAACACAUGCAAGUCGAACGCCCCGCAAGGGGAGUGGCAGACGGGUGAGUAACACGUGGGAACGUACCCUUCGGUUCGGAACAACUCAGGGAAACUUGAGCUAAUACCGGAUACGUCCGAGAGGAGAAAGAUUUAUCGCCGAAGGAUCGGCCCGCGUCUGAUUAGCUAGUUGGUGAGGUAACGGCUCACCAAGGCGACGAUCAGUAGCUGGUCUGAGAGGAUGAUCAGCCACAUUGGGACUGAGACACGGCCCAAACUCCUACGGGAGGCAGCAGUGGGGAAUAUUGGACAAUGGGCGCAAGCCUGAUCCAGCCAUGCCGCGUGAGUGAUGAAGGCCUUAGGGUUGUAAAGCUCUUUUACCUGGGAAGAUAAUGACGGUACCAGGAGAAUAAGCCCCGGCUAACUUCGCGCCAGCAGCCGC